rnacentral:rRNA from 1 species
GAUGAACGCUGGCGGCGUGCCUAAUACAUGCAAGUCGAGCGAACAGACGAGGAGCUUGCUCCUCUAACGUUAGCGGCGGACGGGUGAGUAAGACGUGGAUAACCUACCUAUAAGACUGGGAUAACUUCGGGAAACCGGAGCUAAUACCGGAUAAUAUAUUGAACCGCAUGGUUCAAUAGUGAAAGACGGUUUUGCUGUCACUUAUAGAUGGAUCCGUGCCGCAUUAGCUAGUUGGUAAGGUAACGGCCUACCAAGGCAACGAUGCGUAGCCGACCUGAGAGGGUGAUCGGCCACACUGGAACUGAGACACGGUCCAGACUCCUACGGGAGGCAGCAGUGGGGAAUCUUCGGCAAUGGGCGCAAGCCUGACGGAGCAACGCCGCGUGAGUGAUGAAGGUCUUCGGAUCGUAAAGCUCUGUUAUUAGGGAAGAACAAAUGUAUAAGUAACUAUGCACGUCUUGACGGUACCUAAUCAGAAAGCCACGGCUAACUUCGUG